UGAGCGCUGAAGACUGGUACUUGUACCGGUUGGAUGAGCAGCCAAUUUGUGAGUAACGCGUGGGUAACCUGCCCUAUAGAGGGGGAUAACUAGAGGAAACUUUAGCUAAUACCGCAUAAAAUCUAAUAACACAUGUUAUAAGAUUGAAAGUGCCAACUGGUACACUAUAGGAUGGACCCGCGUUGUAUUAGCUAGUUGGGGAGGGAAAGGCUCACCAAGGCGAUGAUACAUAGCCGACCUGAGAGGGUGAUCGGCCACACUGGGACUGAGACACGGCCCAGACUCCUACGGGAGGCAGCAGUGGGGAAUCUUCGGCAAUGGACGAAAGUCUGACCGAGCAACGCCGCGUGAGUGAAGAAGGUUUUCGGAUCGUAAAACUCUGUUGUAAGAGAAGAACACCAGUAAGAGUGGAAAGCUUACUGGCUGACGGUAUCUUACCAGAAAGCCACGGCUAACUACGUGCCAGCAGCCGCGGUAAUACGUAGGUGGCAAGCGUUAUCCGGAUUUAUUGGGCGUAAAGCGAGCGCAGGCGGUUCAUUAAGUCUGAUGUAAAAGGCAGUGGCUCAACCAUUGUAAGCAUUGGAAACUGGGUGAACUUGAGUGCAGUAGAGGAGAGUGGAAUUCCAU
rnacentral:rRNA from 1 species